CAGCAGUCGCCACGGUAAUACGUAGGUGGCAAGCGUUGUCCGGAAUUAUUGGGCGUAAAGGGCUCGCAGGCGGUUUCUUAAGUCUGAUGUGAAAGCCCCCGGCUCAACCGGGGAGGGUCAUUGGAAACUGGGAAACUUGAGUGCAGAAGAGGAGAGUGGAAUUCCACGUGUAGCGGUGAAAUGCGUAGAGAUGUGGAGGAACACCAGUGGCGAAGGCGACUCUCUGGUCUGUAACUGACGCUGAGGAGCGAAAGCGUGGGGAGCGAACAGGAUUAGAUACCCCAGUAGUCCCUGUCUCUUAUAC
rnacentral:rRNA from 1 species